GAUGAACGCUGGCGGCGUGCCUAAUACAUGCAAGUCGAGCGAACAGACGAGGAGCUUGCUCCUCUGACGUUAGCGGCGGACGGGUGAGUAACACGUGGAUAACCUACCUAUAAGACUGGGAUAACUUCGGGAAACCGGAUCUAAUACCGGAUAAUAUAUUGAACCGCAUGGUUCAAUAGUGAAAGACGGUUUUGCUGUCACUUAUAGAUGGAUCCGCGCCGCAUUAGCUAGUUGGUAAGGUAACGGCUUACCAAGGCAACGAUGCGUAGCCGACCUGAGAGGGUGAUCGGCCACACUGGAACUGAGACACGGUCCAGACUCCUACGGGAGGCAGCAGUAGGGAAUCUUCCGCAAUGGGCGAAAGCCUGACGGAGCAACGCCGCGUGAGUGAUGAAGGUCUUCGGAUCGUAAAACUCUGUUAUUAGGGAAGAACAAAUGUGUACGUAACUAUGCACGUCUUGACGGUACCUAAUCAGAAAGCCACGGCUAACUACGUG
rnacentral:rRNA from 1 species